UACGUAGGGGGCAAGCGUUGUCCGGAUUUAUUGGGCGUAAAGAGCGUGUAGGCGGUCAGAUAGGUCCGUUGUGAAAACUCGAGGCUCAACCUCGAGACGCCGAUGGAAACCAUCUGACUAGAGUCCGGAAGAGGAGAGUGGAAUUCCCGGUGUAGCGGUGAAAUGCGCAGAUAUCGGGAAGAACACCCGUGGCUAAGGCGGCUCUCUAGUACGGUACUGACGCUGAGACGCGAAAGCGUGGGGAGCAAACAGG
rnacentral:rRNA from 1 species